rnacentral:lncRNA from 1 species
CACCUCUCCAGCCACAGGUAAGAGCCGCUGGGAACUCGUUUCCUCCAGACCCAUCUUUGCACGGGGGGGCGGGGGGGGGCAGUGUCCACACCCCCCACCUCCCACAAGCCUCUGCAAGUAGCUCAGCGGCGGCCAACCCGGGGGCACCGAACUGCUGGGCUCCUUGGAGGGAGGGAGGAGGAGCCCUGCCCAGGCGCCCCCAGGUGAGGAGUGAAUGUUCCUGGGGGGUCCUCGAGGCCAGCGCAGGGCUUGCUCCGGGUCCCUCCCUCCCUCUGUGUGCCCUGCAAACAGCUGGCACUCAAUAAGCUUGCAGUUUCAAUGGCAGAAGGCGGCCACUGCGGCAUUUCCAUGCCCCUGUGUGAUUGUCACCUCCUGCCCCAACUUGUGGCCUCUAGUCAGCAAGUGCCCUUAGGAGUGGGCAAGCUGCAGGGAGGGCACAGGGUCCUGGCGGGGGGGAGGCGGCAGGAGGAGAACUGGCCUCCGGUGUCUGGGGUCCCCAACAGGAGCUGCCCCUUCUGCACAGUUACAGGACAGGGGGUCUCGGACAACUUGGGCCCACAGGGUCCCUCAGGUCCAGCUGAGGGCCACCUUCUACCCUGGAACCCCAUACAGGCCCAGCCAGGCCCAAAGGUCCCAGGAGCCCUGGCCCCCGGCUCCCCGCCCCCCCAUGCAAACCCUGUCGUCCGCCCACCUCAGUGUUCCCUCUGGGCCCUGGGGGCUCCUGCAGCCAGACGUGCAGGGAACUCGGCCCUACGCAGCCCCGGGUGUGCCUGCAGGGUCUCAGCGGCCAGUGCAGGUCCACACCUCCGCCCACUGGUCUGGCCCGGCGGAUGGAAGGCUCCAGGAGGGAGGCACUAGCGAUGCAGAUGGUCUCCAGCAGGUGGCGCCCAGCGCCCGCACAUUUUCCUGGAGGGGCGCCUGCGCCUGCGCACACAUGUACCUGCCGCCGGCGUGCUUCUGAGCCCUGGGCGGGCGUGGGCGCGAACACCCCCACUGGGAGGGUGUGUGGGCGUGGCUUGCGCGGGCUGCGCCCACGCCGAGGUCCGUCUGCGUCUGUCCGUCUGCGCCCCUCGACCUGGUUUGGGGACUGGGGGUCAGAGGACACCCUGCAGUCACCUGACUCCACCAGUCUCGAGCCCCAGGCCCCAUGACUGAGGCGCCAACUGCUGCCGGGUCUGCUGCGUCCUGCACGCGGGGCAGGCGCAUAGGCUGAGCCCCUGGCUUCCUCCUGUAAGGCCUCUCCCCGCACGGCCUUGGACCGGUUCCCGGUCUUGCUCAUUUGCACGCUGGCCCUCAGCACAGUAAGGGCCAGGAAGCAUGGUUGGCUCUAAGCGCCCUACGCAGUGGGGACUCCUCCCCAGCUGGUCUGACGGCCCUGCCCUGGUUGUGGCCCGGGCCUUCCCCGGCUUGCCCUGCGGCAAGAAGGGCCGCCCAUCUCUGACCCUGUCCUGGGGGACCGGGGCGGCAACAAGCAGGUGCAGCAGAAACUCCUAACAUCUGGCCAGAUGAGCCCACGGAAGGCCAGUGGGCGUCUGGCGGCCUCUCUCCUGCAGAGAGGGGCCCUGUGGGACCCAGACACCCUGGGGCCUCUGCCUGCAGCCCCAUUGGGAGGGUCAUGGCUCUGAGAUCUCAGCCCCCGCUCUAGAAGUGUCUUCAUGGACUAGGCUACCCGGACGUGGCUGGCCUGGGCCGCUCCCAGGCAAGCCACAGGGGCAGGGUGAGGGUAGAAGGGUCCACACUGGCAGUCAGCUCCUGGGGCAGGGGACGUGUGUGGGUUCAGAAGUGCCCAGAACCACCGCCUGAGCUCUAGGGGUGGGAAGAGGUGGGACCCUGCCUGGAGUCGGCCAUGCAGCGCCACCCCCUGGCCAGGCACUGAAGCUGGAGUCUGCCUGCCUUCUGGAAAGGGGGCCUGUCCUCCCAGGUAUGGCCACGCCCAGCCUGGGCACAGUGAGAGUACAGGAGAGCCUCUGACGUGCCCAUCUUCCUGCAGAAGGAGGCACCCAGCUGGGGGGUGUACCCAUCUGUGGUGACCACCCCCCCCGCCAAGGAGGGGCCAGGGCCCCACGCAGCAGACCCAGAGCCGGUCCUGGAGCCAGGCCUAGUGACGCAGUGCGGCUAGAGCAGGGAGGUUCCUUGUGCGCAGGCUUUGAGGAAGCGGAUGUGGCCUUUGCACCAGCAGAUUACAGAGCGGGCCGAGCGGGAGAGUCAACAGAAAUCGCUCAAGGAGCAGCUGGGGGGACCUGCCGUGCCCAUCACCCCUGGGUCAGCGUCACCCCGCAGGCUGCAGCACCGGCCAGGGCUCCCCCACCAGUUGCAGACCUGAGGAGGGCAGAGCCCAGUGCUGGCCUGUAGAUGGGCUACAGUAGCGGCUGGUAUCAUGUCCAGGCUGUUAUCUUUGCCCGGAAGCCCACCCUUGUUCUGCAAGCCGUGAGUGUCCAGUGAGGCUGCAGCCAGAGGACUGGGGGCCGACUCGGGCCAGCAAGGCCCAGGCCUGGGGGUGCCACGUUCAUCUCAGUGGUGCACAGGAGGAGAGGGGAGACGCCUACCCUGCGGGUGGUCCCCCAGCAGGAGGGGGCCUAGGGCGAGAGGUCCCUCUGGAGGCCCCCAGCAACAUCCUGGCAGGACCCCCUGAGAUGGCUUCUCCUUUGGGAUGCUUGUCCAGGACGUUUGCAGGAUGCAGAGUGUGGACAGAGCCUCGGGAGGGGCAGGCCUGCCCCACCCGCUCCCCACAGAGACGAAUGAGACGCACCACAAGGUAACCCCCAGAAGAGUCUCCAAAGGGCAGAGAGGCCCCUGCACGUGGCCUCCCGUGGGCACCCACAGAUUCGCAGGUCAAAGUCCUGACCGCCCACGUCUCAGACCUGACUUGCAAGUAGGGUCCUGGCAGAUAAGUAACUGCUUGAGAUGAGGUCGCCCUGGAGCAGGGUGUGCCCUGAUCUAAUAUAACUGGUGUCCUUAAAAAAGAGGGAACGUUUGAGGCAGACACCCGCACAGGGAGAACACCAUGUAAAGAUGGAGGCAGAGUUGGGGAGGUGCGUCCGCAGACCAGGGGACACUGGAAGUGGGACGGAAGCACCAGCCUUGAGGGUCAGUUGGGAGAGACCCUCCUCCCAGCCUCACGGGACCAACUCUGAUGACACCUGGAUCUCAGGCUUCAGCCUCUAGAACUGGGAGAAAAGAAAGUCCAGGUGCUCGAACCACCCAUCCUGGGGCAGGUCCUCUGCCCUGGAAAAGCAGAACUCUGCCAGAGGAGUGCGACCUGCCGGGACACGGGGGAAAUAGCAGGAGACGCCCUGAAGGGCCAGUGGCCAACAGGCUGUGGGUUUGGACGCAGGGGUCCAUGGGGCAGCGUUUGUCUUCUAGCUGCUUUUCCACACCUUCCCGCAUUUUAUUACUGACCAUGAACCACAUUGGAAUGUUCUGAGAUUCUGUCUCAUCAGGUUCUUCCAAUUUCCAAAAAGAGCAGCACAGACUGGAUUCGCUCUUGCCUGGAACGACUAAAAGAUGGAAUGGGAUACGUGAGACAGCAGUCGUCAAGACACUGGAGGUCAGGCAGGGAAGAAUGGGAAUCACGGAGGAGAUGGGACCUGCACCCGGGGAGCCCUACGAGUUCCUGGAUCGCUGCCCUGAGAUGGUUCAGAACAAGGUGCAGGGAGGGGACCAGGAGGGGCUCUGCUGAGACCUUGGAGAUCAAGGCAGCUGGAGUUCAGGGGAUGCUGGAGAGAACGGGGCCGCACAGAGUGAGCCCUGGGUGGGCAGAAGCCCCCAAGUCCCGCCGGGCAGGACCUGCAGGUGAGGAACAAACCUGAGCUGGGAGGAGCCACCUGCAGGGACUGGGGGAGCAGCAGCUGGGUCCCCACGGGCAGGGCACAGCUGUCCCCCACGCCUUGCUGGGGAUCACAGCGCAGGGCAUAGAAGGCUUGCCAGCCUUGCCUGGACUGGGCACUGCUCCAGCCCCAUCUGAGAGGUCACAAAAGUAAGACCCAAAAGACAAACUGUACCCAUGUAGUUAACUGUGUCCAGAACAAAAACCUCAAGAAGCUUUAGAGGAAGACAAAAAUAUCCAGCUCCAACAAGGUAAGAUUCGCAAUGUCUGACACCCAAUCCCAAAGUACCAGGAAGACAGAGAAAAAGGACUGUUCGACCCACAAUCAGGAGAAAAGCCAGUCAUUCCAAACCAGCCUGACUCCAGCAUGGGUGUUAGAAUUAGCAGACAAGGACAUUAAAACAGUCAGUAUAAAUGUUUGGGGUUUGUUUCUUUAGGGCUGCACAUACAGCAUAUGGAGGUUCCCAGGCUGGCAACUGCAGCUCCAAUUUGACCCCAGGCCUGGGAAACUCCAUGUGCUGCGGGUGCAGCCCUUAAAAAGGACAACAACAAUACAAAAAACGGACUGGAGUUCCCACCGUGGCUCAGCGGUGACAAACCUGACUAGCAUCCAUGAGGAUGCAGGUUUGAUCCCUGGCCUCGUUCAGUUUAAAGAUCUGGUGUUGCCGUGAGCUACAGUGCAGAUCACAGGUGCAGCUAGGAUCCUGUGUUGCUGUGGCUGUGGUGUAGACCGGCAGCUGCAGCUCCAAUUCGACCCCGAGCCUGGGACCCUCCAUAUGCUGCAAAAUGCAGCCCUAAAAAGACAAAAAGGGGAGUUCCCGUUGUGGCGCAGUGGUUAACGAAUCCGACUAGGAACCAUGAGGUUGCAGGUUCGAUCCCUGGCCUGGCUCAGUGGGUUAAGGAUCCGGCGUUGCUGUGAGCUGUGGUGUAGGCCGUCAGCUACAGCUCCGAUGAGACCCCUCGCCUGGGAACUUCCAUAUGCCACAGGAGCGGCCCUAGAAAAGGC